UUCCAGCUGACGAGUCCUAAAUAGAACGAAACGUGCAUCCUGGAU
rnacentral:hammerhead_ribozyme from 1 species